AUGCAUAUUGCUGGUUAUGUCGCUCUAUGCGAGCUAUUCCUGGGCUGUGAGGCCCAUUUCCAUUUAUGGAGAAGACUGUUAUGCCUCAUCCCUUGUAAUAAAGGAGGGACAAUAUUUGAAGUGGGGGGAGCUGAGGUGUGGCACAUCUGUGGCACCAGAUACCUGUCCGGCACGCCAAAGAAGGCUUCCCAAGAAUGGCCUUCCGAAUGGUUCUAUAUUCAUGAUGUCGCUCUUCCGGACCCCGUUCGUAUGGGCCUUCCCGAAUUUUCAAGUGCUCCGUUGAAGAAACGCCAUAGCUGGCCUCCUUGGAGCCUCGAGGAAGAGGAUAGCGCAGAGAUCAGUCUGCUGCUAGGAAAGAUUAAGAUGCUUGCCCAGUACGGAUUGUUAAUAGUCGAGGUAAUGGCGAUAUCCAUAGUGCGGGGGUGCAAUCACUCCAAUAUAGAGGGCUACCCAUGUGGCACUACAAUGGGGAAGAUGACACCUCACGCUGCGGUCGGAACGGGCCGAAGACCCCCGCCGCUUUGGCCAAAAUAUUGCCCAAACUAUAUAAAGGGGACAAGGAGGAGUUCACCCGUCUCCAAUAUCGAGACGGAUUUUCCAUGUAUAAUCCUCCUUGCUGGGAAUGGCGAAAAGUUGUCGAGGGGAUCCAUGACCCUGCCCCUCAGCCGGAGAAAUGCAACCGGGAUCUUGACCCUGGAUAAGAAGAAGAUUCAGACAUAUUUGUGGAGCUCGAGGAUGGAAUGUUCUAUCAGACUUGCUACGACGGUACGGAUGUACCCAUCAUAG
rnacentral:rRNA from 1 species